GUAGGUGGCAAGCGUUGUCCGGAAUUAUUGGGCGUAAAGCGCGCGCAGGUGGGGUUCUCUAAGUCUGAUGUGAAAGCCCCCGGGCUCAACCGGGGAGGGUCAUUGGAAACUGGGGAACUUGAGUGCAGGAGAGGAAAGUGGAAUUCCACGUGUAGCGGUGAAAUGCGUAGAUAUGUGGAGGAACACCAGUGGCGAAGGCGACUUUCUGGCCUGUAACUGACACUGAGGCGCGAAAGCGUGGGGAGCAAACAGGAUUAGAUACCCUGGUAGUCCACGCCGUAAACGAUGAGUGCUAAGUGUUGGGGGGUUUCCGCCCCUCAGUGCUGCAGCUAACGCAUUAAGCACUCCGCCUGGGGAGUACGGUCGCAAGACUG
rnacentral:rRNA from 1 species